GGGCUAGCUUCCUGCCCAGUGGUUCCUUCAGCUGCAACUUCUCACCCACAUGGUCUGGUGAGAUGGAUUGAGGCCCGCAGGUGCUCUCUAGUCCUUUA
ensembl:vault_RNA Vault Vault RNA